rnacentral:tRNA from 1 species
GCGGGUAUGGCGGAACUGGCAGACGCGGUAGAUUCAGGUUCUAUUGAGUUUCUCGUGCAGGUUCAAAUCCUGUUACCCGCA